rnacentral:lncRNA from 1 species
CUUCAGACUUCAGUGGCCGAGACUCUAGAGUUAGCAAUGGAAAAAAUCAGCCUUGGACUUCUGUUUCUGCCCACAGUUUUCAAAUUAAGAACAAUGCUUUUGCACUUAGUGAAACGACCUCUAUUGCUCUUCGAGAGGACUCAGGAUAUCAAUUCUCCAGGCUUCUGGUGGUCCCGUGGAGAAAAGGAUCAUGGAAGAGAAAGAAACAGAUAAGAAUAAAGUUCUGAAAAGUGAGGCUUGUGACACUGACCCACCUUCCUUCUGGGGCCAUUUUCUUUAGGUGAGUCAUAUAGUGGGAUGUCCAUGGGCCAGACCAUUGA